GUGUUGUAUGAAAGGAGAGAAGGUUAGCACUCUCCUUGACAAGGAUGGAAGAGGCUCUCGGGCCUGUACAACACGCAUACGGUAUAAAUAAUUAU
rnacentral:ncRNA from 1 species